rnacentral:misc_RNA from 1 species
CAAGAUCCCCUUUCCCCCUCCUCCCAAAGAUUCAGGAUACACAACAUCGCUCUUUGCAUUACUCGACAAAGAAAUACUAUACAAAUUGUUAUAGUAUUAACAACAAGGUUGCUUGUAGAAGGGGCAGUUCAUUUCCUAUAUUUUCUUCUAAGUUUAAGGUAGCUGGUAAAAGGUUAAUCUGCUCAGUAGCAACAGAACCCCGACCAUCACAGAUUGAAGAGCCCAAGAUGGAUGCGCCUAAAGAGAUCUUUCUGAAGGAUUACAAAAUGCCUGAUUAUUUCUUUGACACGUUGUACUUGAAUUUUGCACUUGGGGAGGACAAGACAAUCGUUUCAUCCAAGAUAUCCGUUGUUCCAAGAGUUGAAGGUGUUUCAUCUCCGCUUGUCCUUAAUGGACAUGAUCUGAAGCUAUUGUCCGUCAAAGUUGAUGGCAAGGAACUGAAGAAAGAUGAUUAUCAGUUGGAUUCACGCCAUCUUGUACUGAUAUCACCGCCAAGCACUACAUUUGUUCUGGAAAUUGUUACAGAGAUAUAUCCUCAGAACAAUACAUCAUUAGAGGGACUAUACAAGUCUGGAGGGAACUUCUGUACUCAAUGUGAAGCUGAAGGCUUUCGUAAGAUCACCUUUUAUCAGGAUCGCCCUGAUGUCAUGGCAAAAUACACUGUUCGAGUGGAAGCAGAUAAAACCAGUUAUCCUGUCUUGCUAUCAAAUGGGAAUCUUAUUGAGCAAAGUGAUCUUGAGGGUGGGAAGCACUAUGCUCUCUGGGAGGAUCCUUUCA